rnacentral:rRNA from 1 species
AACGAACGCUGGCGGCGCGUCUUAACCAUGCAAGUCGAGCGGCAGGCAGCAAUGCCGAGAGCGGCGGACUGGUGAGUAACACGUGGAUAACGUACCCCGAUGCCCGGGACAGCCUGUAGAAAUAGAGGGUAAUACCGGAUAGAUCACUGUUUACGGAAGGUAGACAGCGGGAAAGGAGCUUCGGCUCCGCGACGGGAUCGGUCUGCGGCCCAUCAAGCUCGUUGGUGAGGUAAGAGCUCACCAAGGCGAGGACGGGUAUCCGGCCUGAGAGGCGGACGGACACAUGGGACUGAGAUACGGCCCAGACUCCUACGGAGGCAGCAGGUAAGAAUAUUCCGCAAUGGGGGGAACCCUGACGGAGCGACGCCGCGUGAACGAAGAAGGCCGGAAGGUUGUAAAGUCUUUUCUGUCCGAGGAGAGGAAGGAGGGGAUGAUGUCAGG